GACGAACGCUGGCGGCGUGCCUAAUACAUGCAAGUUGAGCGCUGAAGGUUGGUACUUGUACCGACUGGAUGAGCAGCGAACGGGUGAGUAACGCGUGGGGAAUCUGCCUUUGAGCGGGGGACAACAUUUGGAAACGAAUGCUAAUACCGCAUAAAAACUUUAAACACAAGUUUUAAGUUUGAAAGAUGCAAUUGCAUCACUCAAAGAUGAUCCCGCGUUGUAUUAGCUAGUUGGUGAGGUAAAGGCUCACCUAGGCGAUGAUACAUAGCCGACCUGAGAGGGUGAUCGGCCACAUUGGGACUGAGACACGGCCCAAACUCCUACGGGAGGCAGCAGUAGGGAAUCUUCGGCAAUGGACGAAAGUCUGACCGAGCAACGCCGCGUGAGUGAAGAAGGUUUUCGGAUCGUAAAACUCUGUUGGUAGAGAAGAACGUUGGUGAGAGUGGAAAGCUCAUCAAGUGACGGUAACUACCCAGAAAGGGACGGCUAACUACGUG
rnacentral:rRNA from 1 species